GUGGGGCUGGGCGGUGCGUUAGGCCGCAUGUUACCCCGGGGCCGAUUCCUACCUCUUGGGGGCCGUCUCUGCCGGAGUCGUGGCUUCGGCACAUGGUCGCCCACCUGCUACGGCGGGCCACGGAGGGUUGCACGCCGACGGCCGAGCCGGCUCCACU
rnacentral:other from 1 species